UGGGGAAUUUUGGACAAUGGGCGAAACCCUGAUCCAGCCAUGCCGCGUGAGUGAAGAAGGCCUUCGGGUUGUAAAGCUCUUUCGGCCGGGAAGAAAUCGCAUGGGUUAAUACCCUGUGUGGAUGACGGUACCGGAAUAAGAAGCACCGGCUAACUACGUGCCAGCAGCCGCGGUAAUACGUAGGGUGCGAGCGUUAAUCGGAAUUACUGGGCGUAAAGCGUGCGCAGGCGGUUUAGUAAGACAGGCGUGAAAUCCCCGGGCUCAACCUGGGAACUGCGCUUGUGACUGCUAAGCUAGAGUACGGCAGAGGGGGGUGGAAUUCCACGUGUAGCAGUGAAAUGCGUAGAGAUGUGGAGGAACACCGAUGGCGAAGGCAGCCCCCUGGGCCGAUACUGACGCUCAUGCACGAAAGCGUGGGUAGCAAACA
rnacentral:rRNA from 1 species